GGUGUUUAACCAUUCAGUUAGCCAGAAGUUCUAAAGAGUAUUUUAAGUUGUUUCUUCUGCAGGUGCUCUUCGCUGCCGAGCAGAUUUCUGUCUGCCUCUCUGUGGUGAGGGUGGAGUCUCCUGUUCAGCUUCUGUCUCCGAAGUCUCGUUGUCCCCUUGCUGGGAACCCGUAUCACCUAUCAAUUCUCUCAGGAACUUGAAUUUAGACAGAAACAAUUGCCAGACCACAUACCAGCCGCAGAGCAUGAAGAGCAGCACGCAGGCCAGGGUGGCCACGAUCACCAGCAGGGUCAGCCCGAUGCUCUGCCACAUGCUGCCGGGCCCUUCCCCACCGCCAGGUGCGGGGCCCAACUCCCGACGGCGGCUCGGCGGCCCGCUCGCCCCUCACGCAGGGUCCGACACAGACCGGAGGCGCCGCGGGGCACGGACAAAAGCCCGAAGGCUACAGGGCGCGGGCCGCGCCUCGCAUAGCUGCCCACCGCCCCGGAGGAAGAACCAGCAGAGCCCAGCGCCAGCCGUGCCGGCGGCGGGG
rnacentral:lncRNA from 1 species